AACGCACAUUGCGCCCAUUGGUAUUCCGAUGGGCAUGCCUGUUCGAGCGUCAUUAUCCUCCCUCAAACCUCGUGUUUGGUGUUGGACCGCGUUGGUUAAACGACCAACUGGUCCCAAAGACAAUGACGGCGUCCGUGGGACCCUCGGUGCAACGAGCUUCUUAGGAGCACGCGUCGAGUUUCAAGGACCCCCCGGGCCGGUCUUAACCUCAUAUCUUCUUAGGUUGACCUCGGAUCAGGUAGGAAUACCCGCUGAACUUAA
rnacentral:misc_RNA from 1 species